rnacentral:rRNA from 1 species
AUACGUAGGGGGCGAGCGUUGUCCGGAAUGAUUGGGCGUAAAGAGUGCGUAGGUGGUUACCUAAGCGCAGGGUUUAAGGCUACGGCUUAACUGUAGUUCGCCCUGCGAACUGGGCAACUUGAGUGCAGGAGAGGAAAGCGGAAUUCCUAGUGUAGCGGUGAAAUGCUUAGAUAUUAGGAGGAACACCAGUGGCGAAGGCGGCUUUCUGGACUGAAACUGACACUGAGGCACGAAAGCGUGGGGAGCAAACAGGAUUAGAUACCCUGGUAGUCCACGCCGUAAACGAUGAGCACUAGGUGUCGGGGGGAUCACCCUCGGUGCCGGAGUUAACGCAUUAAGUGCUCCGCCUGGGGAGUACGCACGCAAGUGUAAAACUCAAAGGAAUUGACGGGG